rnacentral:rRNA from 1 species
GUGCCAGCCGCCGCGGUAAUACGAAGGGGGCUAGCGUUGCUCGGAAUUACUGGGCGUAAAGGGCGCGUAGGCGGGUAUUUAAGUCAGAGGUCAAAUCCCAGGGCUCAACCCUGGAACUGCCUUUGAUACUGGAUACCUUGAGUGCGGGAGAGGUGUGUGGAACUCCGAGUGUAGAGGUGAAAUUCGUAGAUAUUCGGAAGAACACCAGUGGCGAAGGCGACACACUGGCCCGUUACUGACGCUGAGGCGCGAAAGCGUGGGGAGCAAACAGGAUUAGAUACCCUGGUAGUCC